UGUACAGUUGGUCUAAUGUACCUGGCGUAAUACUUUUGCUGCAGUAAGAAGAAAAUAUCUGGACUCUAGUGCGUAUUGGUAGGUUUUUAGUACAAUCAAGCGAUCGAGAUGGAGGGCGAAAACGGCGCCUCGAAAAAAGCAAUUUCGAAUUGAAGAAAAUAGUUCAUCAACGGUUGAAAAAAGUUUACUAUCAAAAACAGUUUUUCUAACUAAAUAAAACAUUAAAUUUAA